rnacentral:rRNA from 1 species
UACGUAGGGUGCAAGCGUUAAUCGGAAUUACUGGGCGUAAAGCGUGCGCAGGCGGUUCGGAAAGAAAGAUGUGAAAUCCCAGGGCUCAACCUUGGAACUGCAUUUUUAACUACCGGACUAGAGUAUGUCAGAGGGAGGUGGAAUUCCACGUGUAGCAGUGAAAUGCGUAGAUAUGUGGAGGAACACCGAUGGCGAAGGCAGCCUCCUGGGAUAAUACUGACGCUCAUGCACGAAAGCGUGGGGAGCAAACAGGAUUAGAUACCCUGGUAGUCCACGCCCUAAACGAUGUCAACUAGCUGUUGGGGCCUUCGGGCCUUGGUAGCGCAGCUAACGCGUGAAGUUGACCGCCUGGGGAGUACGGUCGCAAGAUUAAA